GAUGAACGCUGGCGGCGUGCCUAAUACAUGCAAGUCGAGCGAAUGGAUUAGGAGCUUGCUCUUAUGAAGUUAGCGGCGGACGGGUGAGUAACACGUGGGUAACCUGCCCAUAAGACUGGGAUAACUCCGGGAAACCGGGGCUAAUACCGGAUAACAUUUUGAACCGCAUGGUUCGAAAUUGAAAGGCGGCUUCGGCUGUCACUUAUGGAUGGACCCGCGUCGCAUUAGCUAGUUGGGGAGGUAACGGCUCACCAAGGCAACGAUGCGUAGCCGACCUGAGAGGGUGAUCGGCCACACUGGGACUGAGACACGGCCCAGACUCCUACGGGAGGCAGCAGUAGGGAAUCUUCCGCAAUGGACGAAAGUCUGACGGAGCAACGCCGCGUGAGUGAUGAAGGCUUUCGGGUCGUAAAACUCUGUUGUUAGGGAAGAACAAGUGCUAGUUGAAUAAGCUGGCACCUUGACGGUACCUAACCAGAAAGCCACGGCUAACUACGUGCCAGCCGCCGCAGUAACAC
rnacentral:rRNA from 1 species